CUAAACUCUAUACCCUACAGCCUAAACCCUAAACCCUAAAUUCUAUACCCUACAGCCUAAACCCUAAACCCUACACCCUAAACUCUAUACCCUACACCCUAAACCCUAAACCCUAAACUCUAUACCCUACAGCCUAAACCCUACACCCUACAGCCUACACCCUACAGCCUAAACCCUACACCCUAAACUCUAUACCCUACAGCCUAAACCCUAAACCCUACAGCCUACACCCUACAGCCUAAACCCUACACCCUACACCCUAAACUCUAUACCCUACACCCUAAACCCUAAACCCUAAACUCUAUACCCUACAGCCUAAACCCUACACCCUACAGCCUACACCCUACAGCCUAAACCCUACACCCUAAACUCUAUACCCUACAGCCUAAACCCUAAACCCUACAGCCUACACCCUACAGCCUAAACCCUACACCCUACACCCUAAACUCUAUACCCUACAGCCUAAACCCUACACCCUACAGCCUACACCCUACAGCCUAAACCCUACACCCUAAACUCUAUACCCUACAGCCUAAACCCUAAACCCUACAGCCUACACCCUACAGCCUAAACCCUACACCCUACACCCUAAACUCUAUACCCUACAGCCUAAACCCUACACCCUGAACCCUAACUCACUAAAGCAAUAAAUCAGUGGUUUGGGACAGAGCCAACCUGUUCACUCCUGUGUGAUAUUCAAAAUAGGACAUGACCACCACUGACUCUCUCCCUCUCUGUAUGUGAGUAAUCUGCCUGUCCACACACACACACACACACACACACACACACACACACACACACACAGAGUUCUAAACAGAAGAGGCGGGCCCUCGUUCUUCAGAGCUUCUUCCUGUUUUUCUGGGGUCAGAGGUGCGCCCCCUCCUCAUCUACGGACUGAUGUUUUACUUCCUUCAGCAGCGUGAUCACUUCAUCACUGUUUAAUGAUUACCCAGAAUGCUCAGCUGCUACAUGCUUCAGUUUUUCAUCUGAACAGUUGGAUCUUGAGAGACGGUGCGAUCGACCGCUUCAGUAUUUAUUUCUCAGACUGAAUGAAAAUCUCGUCGUGUGUGUGUGUGUGUGUGUGUGUGUGUGUGUGUGUGCGUGUGUGCGUGUGUGUGUACGCGACGGGAAGCAGGACCACGACCACAACAGCAAUAAUCAUGCCGGGGAAACGUGUGCUAUUUAUCAUGAGACGCGGAGCUGCCUGUACGAGUGAUGUGAAAGCGCUCAGUAACCGGGUCUGAAAUGAACUCCAUUAGCCAAGAAACUCCAUGAAAUUAGCGUCCGGAAAACAAGUUAAUCCAGUAUAUCUUUCUGUGUGGGAUCAACCUAAUUACCAUAAGUGUCUGUUGUGAAAAGGGAUUUGCAUAACCCCGCCCACAAGAGUGAUGCACUGAAGAGCUGCAAGCGUACACGUCUGCGCUUUUCCAGAAAACGAGACGUCACCGACACAAGAGCGUUUACAUCUUUAAUUAUUUUACAGCCCAACAUCAGUCCUCCGGUCCACAAGGAGGCGCUGCAGCAGAAGUCUUUUCACAACCGCAGUGAUCAUAAACACCUACUGUGGAUUUUUGGGCAGAAAUAAAUAUUUUAAUUGAUUAAUACACGGACAAUAAUUUCUAAAGUGAGACAAAAGUUAAUUUCAGACCUUGUUUUUUUUAAUUAUUAUUAUUUUCACUUUUGUAUCUCUCUCUCUCUCUCUCUCUCUCUCUCUCUCUGCCUAAGUAUUAUAUUUAUUUGAUGUUACACUGACGAGUGUGCCGAGUCGCUCGGCGUGCGCACUCUUCUGUCCUUCUCGUGUAUUUUAUUGGAUCAAGACUUGAAGUGAUCAGGGUUACUGUAGAUCUGCAGGCGCGUGCCGAUCAUCGGUUAUACGAUACAUCACGAUAUUCAUCACCGUAUUCAUCACCAUAUUCAUCACCAUAUUCAACCGGAAACAUCGUCACGUUCUGUUUCACCCGGUUCUGCCAAGAGCUAGAGGUCCCAGAUGUUCAACCAAACAUCUGUCAGAUCUUCUUCAUAAUCGGACGUCUGAUUAAAGACAAAGCACUCGAGACACCGUGUCUGCUCUGAUUGGCUGCUGGCAGCCGCAGUAAGAGAGCGCGAGACGUUAACGUACGCGACGUAGCCGCAGUGACACCAUAAAAAGAAAAGGAAACAGGUUUUAUUACGGAAUCCUCACGACGCCGUCUUUCACACAGGAGAGCUAAAGUAUUUCCACGGAUCUGAGCAAUAUUAAUAAACUAACUUCAGUUUUUCUUCACUGUCACCAUGGUAACCUGCUAACACCCUGGACCGGUGUAAAGUAUGUAACAUAUCGUAAAAAUAUAUAUAUCGUAACCCGCGAUUAAUGCAACGUAUAAACGUAUCGGCACACGCCUGCUGUAGAUGCGACCAUCUGAAAGUACACACACACACACACACACACACACACACACACACAUUGUAAUAUUUAUGUUGCUGUUUAAACUCUGAGGACCAAACGGAGCUCGGGCUCAAAGGGACGUCCCCCGCUGUGUCUCUCUGCAUUUCACACUUUGUGUUGUUUUUGUACAAUUUUAGCUGCUGUGUGUGUGUGUGUGUGUUGUGUAUUUUUUAGUGAUGAUGUCUGUUACUGCUGUUCCUCAUCCUGCACUCCUCCUCCCUCCCUCUCCCUCUCUCUCUCCCUUUCUCUCCCUCUCUCUCUCUCUCCCUUUCUCUCCCUCUCCCUCUCUCUCUCCCUUUCUCUCCCUUUCUCUCCCUCUCCCUCUCUCUCUCCCUUUCUCUCCCUCUCUCUCUCUCUCCCUUUCUCUCCCUCUCCCUCUCUCUCUCCCUUUCUCUCCCUCUCUCUCUCUCUCCCUUUCUCUCCCUCUCCCUCUCUCUCUCCCUUUCUCUCCCUCUCUCUCUCUCUCUCCCUUUCUCUCCCUCUCUCUCUCCCUCUCUCUCUCUCUCUCUCUCCAUCUCUCUCUCUCUCUCCCUGUCUCUCCCUCUCUCUCUCCCUCUCUCUCUCUCUCCAUCUCUCUCCCUCCAUCUCUCUCUCCCUCUUUCUCUUCACGUUUGUAUUUAUUUGUGUUAGCCUGGAGGAGGAAGUGUGAUGUUGCUGUAAAGAUCUGAUUUGGAUGGUGAAAGAAAUAAAACUAGAACGUUUAGUAAAAUGAA